UACGGAGGGAGCGAGCGUUGUCCGAAGUUACUGGGCGUAAAGCGCGCGUAGGCGGGGAAUUAAGUGAGAAGUGAAAGGCUGGGGCUCAACCUCAUGCAGUGCUCCUCAUACUGGUUCUCUUGAGGGCGGUAGGGAGAAGUGGAAUGGCUGGUGUAGCGGUGAAAUGCGUAGAUAUCAGGAGGAACACCGGUGGCGAAGGCGGAUCUCUGGGCCAUUACUGACGCUGAGGAGCGAAAGCGUGGGGAGCGAACAGG
rnacentral:rRNA from 1 species